AAAAAAAAAACACAAAAAAAACACAAAAAAAAUCUUUUCCAAAACCCGAUAAAUACAAAACCAGCCUUCUUCUUCCUCAAAACACAGACCCCUGACGUUCCUAUCUCUUCUCUAUUUCUCUACCCUCUUCUUCCCCAAAACCCAACACUGAAAAUCAAUCUUGCCAAGAAGCCAUCCCCACACUGUCAAGUCCGAAAUAGAAAGAAGGCAUCACUGAUCUCCACCUUUGAGCACUGACGACAUCUUGAGACUUUACCAUCAGACCAGAUCCUCUCUGCAAACAUUACUGGACACAGUCUUUGAUCCAUAUUCCCUCACUUGUGGCCGUAUAUUUUGCUACAUGUGUGCUUGCUCAUCUGCAUCAGUGUCAAUUGUUGAUAAGUUAAAGUCAGCAGAGCCUAAAGGAAAAUGCCCUCUGUGCCGAGAGGUAAGUUAAUAUCUUUAUAGCCUUUGCUUCUUGGUUCAUUCCAGUGACAAAACGGUGGGGUUGGAUUGGGGUAGGUCCUAAAUUCAAGCUUUGCAAACCAAAGUAUCUUGCUAUUGUUGGACUCAGAUAGGUCUUUCUUUUAUUGGACUCAAAUAAUACCAUAUUCUCUCUGAUUCAUCAAUUUAGAACCAAAAAAGGAAAAAAAAAAUAGAGAAAAAAUAAUGGAUUUGUCGUAAUUUGAGCUAUUUUAUGUUUUAGAGACUAUAUAUGUCUUUACUUCGAACAUAGUGAAAUAAUGGAUUUGAUAAACAAUUCAAUAAGGUGAUUUGCAUUAUGAUGGAAAUGUGCAAUUCUAUGUUAAGUAUAGUUUUUCAUUUUUUUUUUUUUUUUUUUAUAUUUUCCCUAUUUACAUGUAUUGUGGCUUGCUUCCAACAAUUUUAUUUUUUGAUUGUAAAUCAUUAGAAAGCAAAAUAAAUGUGUUUCAUUUAUUUUCUCUGUGUAUUUUAUUCACAUAUUUCAAUUAGGUAGUCGAAAGUAAUUUGGCUGGUAAAAAGUAUUGUUCUUUAUUGCCAAAUGUUUGUUUGAAUUGGAAGCCUUACAGAACAAUUUUCAUGAACAAGGAACCCUCAUUUGUUUGGUAUAUUUUAUGUUUAGUUGGCCUUUGGUGUUAUUAUCAGUUACAUAUGGCUUGGUCUUAAUGAAAGAUUAUUUUAAGGCAAAGUAAGUGGGGUUUCUGUAUUGCUAUUUAUCUCUGAGUUGAGGACUUCUUUCAUUGUAAUUUUGGAUGGUUCUUGCUUUAUGUUGAACGAAAUUUCUUCAAUUUGCUGCAAACCUUGAUGGGUAUUGCUUAAUAAAAAGUUAUUUGUCUCAUAUAUGUGGUCAACUGCAACUAUCAUGGCCAUUGCUCUUGCACAUGGAGGGGUAAGUCCAUAUGACUUCAAUUUUAAUUUUUCUUUAAGCUUGAACAUUUUUUUAUUGACAUUGCUUCUUUUUUUGCUAUUGUAACAUUGUCAUUUUGUAGAACUUUUAGAAGUCAACAUGAAUGAUUAUCGUUAGGUUUUGAAUCAAUAGUUCUGAAUUUGUUGAUGAAAUUUCACACCAUGAAAUUUCUAUCCAAAAAACUGUAUGUUUUAGUUUUACCUAAGAAUGUUAUGAUAUUCUUUUUCAUUUCCAUCAAAUUUGAUAAUAGUUUUCCCUCUCAUCGUAUCUUGAAUCUCCAGGAGAAUAUAUCUCUUUCCAAUUUACAAUAGAUUAUAAUAUACAGGAUUUAGAGAAUGUAUAACAACUCCUUUAUUGCAGCUUAUGAAUUUUAAGGAGAAAGAUGGCUUUUCAUUUUGAUUGCUGAUGAACUGGACUAAUUAUACUACUCAUCAGCGGCAUGGAAUCUUUCAGGUUAAUUUUUACUUUGGAAUAUUUAUUCUGUUUAUUCUCCUUUUAACAAAAAGGAAUAUCACACCGAUGUUUCCCCUUUUUUGAUUGAGAGAGUUUAGCUUAAGGUUGUCUAACUUUUAUUCUUUUGAUAGUUAAGGUGAAAAGGGUUGCAUUGGUGAGUUUCUUUUGUAUUUCUCUUACCUUUCAAAGGGCACAAGACUAAGGAUGUAUACUUUUAUAAUGCCUGGUCUACAUGAGAUGGAGUUUCUACUAAUGAACAAUUAGAUGCUUGUAGUGCACACAAGACUGAGACAGGGCUAAUGAAUAACAUUAUGUAAUAACAUUAUAACCUUAGUUCACCAAGUUCAAGGUCCUUAAUGAUUUUCUUUUAAUAUGUUUUUUAUUUAUUUAUUUAAAUGGAUGUAGUUUAUAUAAAGAUAUGUUAAGCAUUCUUGUGUU